UUCAAGUUCCUUUCCUUUGUUUCAGUUGUCACUAAGAGGGAGUCUUAGGGAAGUAAUUUGAAGUAAAAUCUUGGUGAGCUCUGCUGUCUCUCUGACUUUAGAAAGCGAGAACAGUUUUUGCCAUCCCUCUUAUCCCCUUAUUGAGGCAUGAGGCUGAAGAGCUGUCCCAAAUAAUCUUCCACUGGAAUAUGUGCAAUACCUCAAAAAUACUUUUUCCCCAGCAGCUAUGUUAUACACCCUGUUGGCAAGGAAAACAUGAAGCUGAGUAACAAAUCCAAUUCUUUCCUGUGUUCAGAAGUGACCUAAAUGAGGCAGAACUUCACUAACGGCUAUGAGAGUUUGGAGCAGAUGAAACUUUCCCUGACAGCAAGCAGAGAGUGCUGUUAUAUCUCUUGUGAAAUACUCACAGUAAAGCAAUCUAUUUCUCUUAUGUUCAUAUAGGUGAUCCAGUUGAAAUCCAGUUGGACAGAUCUGUGGAUCUCUAGGAUGACUUGGAGGCUACAAAUGCAAGGAAACAAAAAACAACUUUUUAUCUUCAACAUCUGGAGGAUGCUGUCAGGACAAAACAGUUUAUUUAUACUUUUCUUUCAGAAAAAAAUAUGUAUUCACUGUUCAUUUCAUUGUCAUUUUUCAAAGCAUUACAACUCAUUGCAUGAGUGUAAAUCAUGAUGAUUUAUAUUCUCCUGAUAUUUUCCAUGCAGUAGUUAUCCCAGUAAGUGCUAAGUGAUACUAUUCUUAUAUAUACUGUAAAGUAUUUUUGCUCAAGGACUUAAAUGGUCUAAGAGAGCAAAGGUCAUCAAUACAUCUUAAAAAAAAAAAAAGAAAAAAA